rnacentral:tRNA from 1 species
GCCGGCGUGGCGGAAUGGUAGACGCGGUGGACUCAAAAUCCACUUGUAGUGAUACAGUGGAGGUUCGAGUCCUCUCGCCGGUACCA